rnacentral:rRNA from 1 species
AUGUUGGCUUAGAAGCAGCCAUCAUUUAAAGAAAGCGUAAUAGCUCACUGGUCGAGUCGGCCUGCGCGGAAGAUGUAACGGGGCUAAACCAUGCACCGAAGCUGCGGCAGCGACACUUAUGCGUUGUUGGGUAGGGGAGCGUUCUGUAAGCCUGUGAAGGUGUACUGUGAGGUAUGCUGGAGGUAUCAGAAGUGCGAAUGCUGACAUAAGUAACGAUAAAGCGGGUGAAAAGCCCGCUCGCCGGAAGACCAAGGGUUCCUGUCCAACGUUAAUCGGGGCAGGGUGAGUCGACCCCUAAGGCGAGGCCGAAAGGCGUAGUCGAUGGGAAACAGGUUAAUAUUCCUGUACUUGGUGUUACUGCGAAGGGGGGACGGAGAAGGCUAUGUUGGCCGGGCGACGGUUGUCCCGGUUUAAGCGUGUAGGCUGGUUUUCCAGGCAAAUCCGGAAAAUCAAGGCUGAGGCGUGAUGACGAGGCACUACGGUGCUGAAGCAACAAAUGCCCUGCUUCCAGGAAAAGCCUCUAAGCAUCAGGUAACAUCAAAUCGUACCCCAAACCGACACAGGUGGUCAGGUAGAGAAUACCAAGGCGCUUGAGAGAACUCGGGUGAAGGAACUAGGCAAAAUGGUGCCGUAACUUCGGGAGAAGGCACGCUGAUAUGUAGGUGAAGCGACUUGCUCGUGGAGCUGAAAUCAGUCGAAGAUACCAGCUGGCUGCAACUGUUUAUUAAAAACACAGCACUGUGCAAACACGAAAGUGGACGUAUACGGUGUGACGCCUGCCCGGUGCCGGAAGGUUAAUUGAUGGGGUUAGCGGUAACGCGAAGCUCUUGAUCGAAGCCCCGGUAAACGGCGGCCGUAACUAUAACGGUCCUAAGGUAGCGAAAUUCCUUGUCGGGUAAGUUCCGACCUGCACGAAUGGCGUAAUGAUGGCCAGGCUGUCUCCACCCGAGACUCAGUGAAAUUGAACUCGCUGUGAAGAUGCAGUGUACCCGCGGCAAGACGGAAAGACCCCGUGAACCUUUACUAUAGCUUGACACUGAACAUUGAGCCUUGAUGUGUAGGAUAGGUGGGAGGCUUUGAAGUGUGGACGCCAGUCUGCAUGGAGCCGACCUUGAAAUACCACCCUUUAAUGUUUGAUGUUCUAACGUGGGCCCCUUACCGGGGUUGCGGACAGUGUCUGGUGGGUAGUUUGACUGGGGCGGUCUCCUCCUAAAGAGUAACGGAGGAGCACGAAGGUUGGCUAAUCCUGGUCGGACAUCAGGAGGUUAGUGCAAUGGCAUAAGCCAGCUUGACUGCGAGCGUGACGGCGCGAGCAGGUGCGAAAGCAGGUCAUAGUGAUCCGGUGGUUCUGAAUGGAAGGGCCAUCGCUCAACGGAUAAAAGGUACUCCGGGGAUAACAGGCUGAUACCGCCCAAGAGUUCAUAUCGACGGCGGUGUUUGGCACCUCGAUGUCGGCUCAUCACAUCCUGGGGCUGAAGUAGGUCCCAAGGGUAUGGCUGUUCGCCAUUUAAAGUGGUACGCGAGCUGGGUUUAGAACGUCGUGAGACAGUUCGGUCCCUAUCUGCCGUGGGCGCUGGAGAACUGAGGGGGGCUGCUCCUAGUACGAGAGGACCGGAGUGGACGCAUCACUGGUGUUCGGGUUGUCAUGCCAAUGGCACUGCCCGGUAGCUAAAUGCGGAAGAGAUAAGUGCUGAAAGCAUCUAAGCACGAAACUUGCCCCGAGAUGAGUUCUCCCUGACUCCUUGAGAGUCCUGAAGGAACGUUGAAGACGACGACGUUGAUAGGCCGGGUGUGUAAGCGCAGCGAUGCGUUGAGCUAACCGGUACUAAUGAACCGUGAGGCUUAACCUU